UAGGUGGCAAGCGUUGUCCGGAUUUAUUGGGCGUAAAGCGAGCGCAGGCGGUUUAUUAAGUCUGAUGUGAAAGCCCCCGGCUUAACCGGGGAGGGUCAUUGGAAACUGGUAGACUUGAGUGCAGAAGAGGAGAGUGGAAUUCCAUGUGUAGCGGUGAAAUGCGUAGAUAUAUGGAGGAACACCAGUGGCGAAGGCGACUCUCUGGUCUGUAACUGACGCUGAGGCUCGAAAGCGUGGGGAGCGAA
rnacentral:rRNA from 1 species